UGCUCCACUACUGAACUAUGGCCCUUGUCAGGAUACUGAAGGAUGGAGCCCCAGCUAGAGCUGCCAGCUCCCAAAUUUUGGAGGAGUUCAAGAAGAAACAAUCAAGCAGCCUCCCCCCCCCCCAGUUGCAAAAUGAGUCUUUUUUUCUCUCCAGGCCUUACGAGAUGAGCUGUUCACUCUUCCUGGAAGCAUUGGGGGAAGCCAACUCUUUGCUGACAGGUAAUGGCCACAGAUGGUGACAGCAGCCACGAAAUUAAAAGACGCCUGCUUCUUGGGAGAAAAGCAAUGACAAACCUAGCCAGCAUUUUUAAAAGCAGAGACAUCACCUUGCCAACAAAGGUCCGUAUAGUUAAAGCGAUGGUUUUCCCAGUAGUGAUGUAUGGAAGUGAGAGCUGGACCAUCAAGAAGGCUGAUCGCCGAAGAAUUGAUGCUUUUGAAUUAUGGUGCUGGAGGAGACUCUUGAGAGUCCCAUGGACUGCAAGAAGAUCAAACCUCUCCAUUCUGAAGGAAAUCAGCCCUGAGUGCUCACUGGAAGGACAGAUCCUGAAGCUGAGGCUCCAGUGCUUUGGGCACCUCAUGAGCAGAGAAGACUCUCUGGAAAAGACCCUGAUGUUGGGAAAGAUGGAGGGCACAAGGAGAAGGGGAAUACAGAGGACGAGAUGGUUGGACAGUGUUCUUGAAGCUACCAACAUGAGUUUGACCAAAUUGCAGGAGGCAGUGGAAGACAGGAGUGCCUGGCGUGCUCUGGUCCAUGGGGUCACGAAGCGUCGGACACAGCUAAACAACUAAACAACAAAUGGCCACAGAUCCUGCCCCACUUCGAGGCAGUGUUUGUUGCAGACCUUCAUGCUAUCAUUCAGCAGUGCCCCGUUGACAGGUUGGAUGCCAGACCACAUUCUUUCCCCCCUAUGUAUGCCACCUUGAGCUUCUUGGAGGAAAGGUGGGGUAUAUAAAUGAAUGAAUUCUGACUGCUGUUGUUUCUGAACAUCACAUUUCAGGUGUCUCUGAAUGCUGUCUGGAGUCAUUCUGUUUCCUAGUGGGCAUGUAGUCAAUCUGUCCCCGGCCUGAUGUUGGGAGAAGAGCUCUCUCACUCACCAUACACACACACACAUUAGCCAUCCUCUGUGAUGGAACUGUGAUGUAAGGGUACCGUAUUUUUAUGUCUAUAAGACGCCCCCAUGGAUAAGAUGCCCCCUAUUUUUGGGGACUACAAUUUAAGAAAAUGGGGGCAGAUGGCCCCCAUGUAUAAGAUGCCCACAAAUUCUGGACAUUAUUUUUUAGGGGGAAAACCUAGUCUUAUACAUGGAAAAAUAUGGUAAAUAAAAGCAUUGCAUGUAUCUGCUUAUCCCACCUAAGCUGUUGUUGUUGCCAUUCGUCUAUGUCAAGAGGCAAUGGAGUGUGCCUCUGGGGGGUGAAGUCAAACCACUGUGACCUCCUCAAGGUGCAAGCCUGGGCAGUGUGUAUGGAAAUCCUGAGCUGCCCAGAAGACAAGACACCCCUUCCCUCAGCCCUGUCAUUGGUCAGCUAAUUAACAUGGGGGGGAUUUAUUAAGACGAAUGUUGAAGUCACACGUAUUCGCAUGGAACCGCUUGAUUAAUCUACGUACACUUUGCGUUUUAUUUCAUACGCGGCCUGUUGUAAGAGAAGCAGGGCACAGGAGUGAGAUGGGCAAGCCUUCCACCUCCAGCAGCAAGAGCCAACACAGAGGUGUUGUCUGGAUCUCUCUUCAGGAGUGUAUGAAAUUUUUUGCAUAUACAAGUGCUUGUGGUCAGGAAAGGUGUGUCGUGGGCGAGGAGGUGGUGGUGGAAGGGCUUGGUGCUAAACUCCUAAGAGGGAUGCUUUCCGUCGAUGCAGCAAAGUUCUGUGUCAGUUUUCUUGUAUCAUCAUCGCAGCUGUGCCUGGGAGUGAUCCUUCUGAGGUGCAAGCGGCCAACGGCUGGGAAACCGGGUUUUGCUCCAGCUCAUUAAGCUCUUUGCGGAAGGCGCCAUGGAGACAGCCUUGAAGUGAGGCUUCAACACCCAGUUGCUCUAAUGACAUCUGCCCUUGACUGAACUGAGAAAGAGGGAGGGAAGAGACUAGUCCCCUGUGAACUGAUGUACAUCAGGCUGAAAGAUUGGGCCGAGGUCAUUCUUGCUUGUAUGCUUUUCUGUUCCUCUUUUCUCAAAUUAUAAACUCUGUUCUGUUUCCUCAGUAAAGUCUGACCAGGAUCUUCUCUCUCUCUGGACUCCCAUUCGCAUUAUUCAACUGACUUUGCUAACAACCCCAACUACGGGCAUCUUAUGGGGCUGCCAUCUCUGGCUUCUGAGGUUUCAACAACAAUGGCUCACAUGCUUUCAAGCCGAUUUUCACAGCUGUGUCACCCAGACCAGAAUCUUUGGGUUUAAAAAGUUUUCAGAAGCUGAAUUCUGUGUCCAACACCCCUUUCUGCGAACUUUCUGCACUACUAUGGAAUCGCAG